ACAUGCCUACAACAUAGUGUUAAUGCACUGGAUCCCAUUAGAACUCCACAGUUAAGCGCGCUCAGGGUAGAAUAGUACUAGGAUGGAUGACUUCCCGAGAAGUCCUAGUGUUUUACAUGCC
rfam:Picea glauca, whole genome shotgun sequence.